AUUGAACGCUGGCGGCAUGCCUUACACAUGCAAGUCGAACGGCAGCAUGAUCUAGCUUGCUAGAUUGAUGGCGAGUGGCGAACGGGUGAGUAAUACAUCGGAACGUGCCCUGUAGUGGGGGAUAACUAGUCGAAAGAUUAGCUAAUACCGCAUACGACCUGAGGGUGAAAGUGGGGGACCGCAAGGCCUGAUGCUAUAGGAGCGGCCGAUGUCUGAUUAGCUAGUUGGUGGGGUAAAGGCUCACCAAGGCGACGAUCAGUAGCUGGUCUGAGAGGACGAUCAGCCACACUGGGACUGAGACACGGCCCAGACUCCUACGGGAGGCAGCAGUGGGGAAUUUUGGACAAUGGGCGAAAGCCUGAUCCAGCAAUGCCGCGUGUGUGAAGAAGGCCUUCGGGUUGUAAAGCACUUUUGUCCGGAAAGAAAUGGCUCUGGUUAAUACCUGGGGUCGAUGACGGUACCGGAAGAAUAAGGACCGGCUAACUACGUG
rnacentral:rRNA from 1 species